GCAAACUGGAAACAGCAUAUCCAUUUAUUGUAGCUGGGGAAUUCCAUUUUUUUUAAAUCUCCUGAAGCGCUCCUGAAAUUCUAUCAACACAUCUUCUGUGCUACACGCAGAGAGAAUACGCUUGAAAAAAUACCUUCCAGGACAGACUAAAUGGCCGGCCCUCCCUCCCCCGCCCUCCCUUUGCAAAUCAGCAAAACAAAGCGUGAACCACCGCAUUUAACCAUGGCAAGGUGACUGGGAACAUGGACGUGUACAAAAAGACCAGCUAUGACCUCCGUAAGGCAAUCAAAGAAGCAAAACGACAGUACAGGGACCAAGUGGAGUCACAAUUCAACGGCUCAGACACGAGACGCACGUGGCAGGGGCUCCAGACAAUCACAGAUUAUAAAGGGAAAGCCAGCCACGUCUCGGACGUAGACACCUCGCUCCAGGACAGGCUAUGAGCCUUAACUAGCCUCUCAAAGCACUUAAUGAUGACAGAAGUGAGUGCUACACAGUGAUAGUCAUUUAGUGCAGUUAUGUUUGCUUUCUUGGGUACAUGAACAAUGGUGGACAUUUUGAAGCAAGUGGAGACAAUGGAUUGGGAUAGGGAGAGAUUGAAUUUGUUUGUAAACACUCCAGCCAGCUGGUCUGCACAUGCUCUGAGGACACGGCUUGGGAUGCCAUCUGGGCCGGAAGCCUUGUGAGGUUUAACACACUUAAAUGUCUUACUCACGUCGGCCUCGAAGAUCAGGAGCACUCAUCCUAUGUCAGUUUCAGCAUUAUGGACAUGGGUGUAUCUGUGGUCUAUUUGGCCUGUCCCACGGCUUCCUUCAAUGAUGGGUUGUGAGCGGCUCUGUUGAUGAACUUCUGGCCAAUGAUUGACUGUCUAUUGUUGAUUGAUGUCAGUCCAGAUAUGCUGUUAACGUAGUGAAUCCUGAUGUAUCUUGGUAGUCUGUAAGCCAUUUUUAUUGUUAUGAAUUCUUCAGGUGCAUGGAUUCUACAAGGUGUCGGAAACGUUUCACAGACGAUGUUGGUCCAUGCUAAAGCGAUGGCAUUACGCAGUUGCUGCAGAUUGGACGGUGUAUGUUCAUGUUGUAAACAGCCAAAUCCAUCUCAUCCCAAAAAUGCUCUAUUGGGUUUGGUCAGCAACAAUGUUCAGAUAAGCUGAUAACCUGGAUGGCAGGAAGCUUGGCACCAGUGAUGUACUGGGCCGUUCGCACUACCCUCUGUAGCGCCUUACAGUCAGAUGCCGAGCAGUUGCCAUACCAGGCGGUGAUGCAACCUGUAGGAUGCUCUCGAUUGUGCAGCUGUAGAUGCAACAGGACUGGGAUUCGAUGGACCAGGCAAUGUUUUUCCACUCCUCAAUUGUCCAGUGUUGGUGAUCAUAUGCACACUGGAGCUGCUUAUUUUUAGCUGAUAGGAGUGGAACCCGGUGUGUUCUUCUGCUGCAAUAUCCUAUCCGUGACAAGGAUCGACAAGCUGUGCUUUCUGAGAUGUCGUUCUGCACACCACUGUUGUACUGCGCUGUUAAUUGUCUGUUUGUGGCCCACAUGUUAGCUUGCACAAUUCUUAACAUUAUCUUUCAACCUCUCUCAUCAAUCAGCUGUUUUCGCCCACAGGACUGCCGCUGCCUGGAUGUUUUUUGUUUGUCGCACCAUUCUCUGUAAACCAUAGACACUGUUGUGCAUGAAAAGGUCAGGGGGUGGCCGUUUUGGGGAUACUGUAUCUGGCGAGCCUGGCACCGACAAUCAUACCACGCUCAACGUUGCUUAGGCGGAUUGUUAUGGCUGAAUUAACAGCAGGAUUUUUUUGUUGUUGCCCAUUCUAACGUUCAAUUGAACAGUAAUUGAAUGCCUCAAUGCCUUUCUGCCUGCUUUAUAUAGCAAGCCACUGCCACAUAACUCACUGUCUGUAGGAGCGAUCCCUUUUCGUGAAUGGGUUGGUGUACAUAAUAAACUGUGCGAUGAGUGUA